rfam:Nadsonia fulvescens var. elongata DSM 6958 unplaced genomic scaffold NADFTscaffold_5, whole genome shotgun sequence.
GCUCCUUUAGCUCAGUUGGUAGAGCGUCAGUCUCAUAAUAGGGAUUCUCUUUAGAAGUCAUCUGAAGGUCGAGAGUUCGAACCUCCCAAGGAGCA